UUCGAUACAAGUUGAGUAUCCUCUACAUGAAAUACUCCAUGUUAGAAAUAUGCCCAUAUUAUUUGUAUUUUGAAAUAUUUGCAUAGAUUUUAUAGGUUGAGCAUUCCUUAUCUAAAUGUGAAAGUUGUGAUUCAGAUUUUGUAACACGUUCGAAUUUGGUUUUUGGAUUAUAGAUGUUCAACUUUUAGGUUGGCACUAGCUGUGCAGAACAAAUUGGCCUAAAACUCUCAGAGAUCACUAGUCUGCUUCCUGAGUGCUGGGAUUUAAAAGCACAUGGACCACAGCUAGCCAGUGUGAUAGGAGAAAGAUUUAGAUAGUUCAAGUCUGUAGGUAGGAGAGGCAAUGAGGUUUAAACACUUAAGCUAGGCAAACUGGGCCUUCAGGUGGCAGAAAUUUUGCCAGGCUGGACUAGAAAUACAGAUUUCAAAAUGAAGUGGUGGUAGCAAUAGGGGAGACAGUGAAGGCCAAGGAAAGAAAGCUUUCUGUCUACUGAGUAGUUAAAGGAAAACACCAGGAAGGCUGUCAGGGAUAACAGCUUGUUCCACCACUGCAUUGAUUAAAAGAAAGGAUGCAAAAGGAACAAAACAAAAAAACACAACUUGCUGUGGCAUUGUGAAAAUUUGGUGACCUUGAAAGCAGAGUCAGAUUUGGGUCGAUGGGUAGAGGGACACAGGUGGGAGAGUUCUGAGGCACGCACUGGAGGUAUGCCUUUCAAAGCCUAAGCUAUGUGAAGCAGAAGAGCAGGGACACUGGCUUGACUGGAACAGACUGAGUACAGGCUAUUCCUCUGCAUUGUCUCUGGAUCAUUGAUUCACCUGAAUGAAACCCAUAGAUUGGAAUUAUUUUCAAUACUUAAUCUGAAUAACUUGUCUCAAUUCAAUAGGACAUUACUUUUUCAGUUUGGUGAAAAAUUAGAAUCAUAAUAUAGGCCUAUUUCUGAUGGUGGGAAGACUAUAGGGGUUCUCAGAAAAAUAGUAACUGUCACAGAAAGAGCACAGUUAACUACUAGAUGUCCUUAGUGUGGCAUCUUCAUCUUUAAGAGUGAUGUGUAAGCAUCUCUUGCAGAUGGCCAGUUUAGAAACGACCUGCUUCUUGUUAAACUGACAUUUAAAGAGUUUUGUUCAUUUAAGGUGGUAGUUCUUCAAGUAAAACCAGAGCAAAAGGUACUUAACAUUUAUAAGCAAAGUUGAUGUAAAAAUAAAGUUUAGUAUACACCCCAUCUAUUUUAGGUGAAAAGCCAAGUAAAGGAAAUUCAUACUAGGCCUCUAACUUGUUUUUCUUUUAAUGAUUUUUAUCUCUGCAGCAUGAUCGGGAGGGUUUGCUGAGCAUGGCAAAUGCAGGCCCCAAUACAAAUGGUUCUCAGUUCUUUAUCACAACAGUUCCAACUCCUCAUUUGGAUGGGAAACAUGUGGUAUUUGGUCAAGUAAUAAAAGGACUAGGUGUGGCAAGGAUGCUUGAAAAUGUAGAAGUGAAUGGUGAAAAACCUGCCAAACUCUGUGUUAUUGCAGAAUGUGGAGAAUUGAAGGAAGGGGAUGAAUGGGGAAUAUUCCCCAAAGAUGGCUCUGGGGAUAGUCAUCCAGAUUUCCCUGAGGAUGCAGACAUAGACUUAAAGGAUGUAGAUAAAAUUUUAUUAAUAUCUGAAGACUUAAAAAACAUUGGAAAUACUUUUUUCAAGUCUCAAAACUGGGAGAUGGCUAUUAAAAAAUAUGCAAAGGUUUUAAGGUAACAGCAUUUUUAACAAGUUUAAUAAGUUUAACAUUUUUAAUAAGUUACUUUUAGAAUGUAUAAACUGAAUUAUUAUGAACUAAACUCAGAAUCGCUCACAUUUAGCAAGUUACUUACGUAAUGACAGUUGUUUUGAAAGAGUAACAUUUCUUGGUGGUGUGGUG
rnacentral:lncRNA from 1 species